AUACGUAGGGAGCAAGCGUUGUCCGGAAUUACUGGGCGUAAAGGGUGCGUAGGUGGCUAUUUAAGUCAGGUGUGAAAGACCGGGGCUCAACUCCGGGGUUGCACUUGAAACUGGGUGGCUUGAGUACAGGAGAGGGAAGUGGAAUUCCUAGUGUAGCGGUGAAAUGCGUAGAUAUUAGGAGGAACACCAGUGGCGAAGGCGACUUUCUGGACUGUAACUGACACUGAGGCACGAAAGCGUGGGGAGC
rnacentral:rRNA from 1 species